rnacentral:rRNA from 1 species
UGGGGAAUAUUGCACAAUGGGCGCAAGCCUGAUGCAGCCAUGCCGCGUGUGUGAAGAAGGCCUUCGGGUUGUAAAGCACUUUCAGCGAGGAGGAAGGUGGUGAGCUUAAUACGCUCAUCAAUUGACGUUACUCGCAGAAGAAGCACCGGCUAACUCCGUGCCAGCAGCCGCGGUAAUACGGAGGGUGCAAGCGUUAAUCGGAAUUACUGGGCGUAAAGCGCACGCAGGCGGUUUGUUAAGUCAGAUGUGAAAAUCCCCGGGCUCAACCUGGGAACUGCAUUUGAAACUGGCAAGCUAGAGUCUCGUAGAGGGGGGUAGAAUUCCAGGUGUAGCGGUGAAAUGCGUAGAGAUCUGGAGGAAUACCGGUGGCGAAGGCGGCCCCCUGGACGAAGACUGACGCUCAGGUGCGAAAAGCGUGGGGCAGCAAACAGGAUUAGAUACCCUGGUAGUCCACGCUGUAAAACGAUGUCGGACUUUUGGAGGUUGUGCCCUUGAGGCGUGGCUUCCGGAGCUAACGCGUUAAAUCGACCGCCUGGGG